GGCCCAGAGAAAGGAGGGCGCCGGGCCGCUGUGGAGCGCGGGCCGCUCGGCCACUGCGCGCCCGAGCGGGGCCGCGCGGCGCAGCGAGGGGGUCUCCGGGUCCCGCUCCGAGUACCCAUCCAUCUUUCGCUUGCGCUUUUCGCGUCACCUCUCUCUUUUUGUGUGUGUGUGCUUGUGUGUUGACUUUCUGACCCUCCUCCCACAUCCCGCGAAUAGCGGGUAUCUCUGGCUUCGCCGCCACUCCCCCUUCUCGCCGCCCCCUCGGGUGGACCCGACGGGGGGUGUUGCGAGCGUGGUUCCCCUCUGCAAACUUUUCUCCGCUCCUAGCCCAAGUCCUGGGCGAGCCCUGGCAACUGGUCCCCUCGCCUCUGUCCAGCUUCUGCGGUCCCAUUGAGCUUGGGGAAUCCCCGAGCCGGCGGGGCCGGGCGGGGGCGGGGAGCGGCGGGGGCCGGGACUCCUGCAGGCCCGACCUUCCCCGGAGCGUGUCUCGCUAGUCUCGCUCCGCGACCCGCUCGAACGUUCGCUCCGGCCCAGUGGGCGACGGGAAGCGGAGAGGGAGCGCAAAGUCCGCUUACAAAGCCCCUAGAUGAGUCACUCAUAGGGAGUAUGGGGGUCUUCGCUUCUUCUUUUUUUCCUUUUGCCAGAAACUUCAAAGCUAAUGUUAGCGGAUACUUCAGCCAUACCCUUCUCCUACCACUUUAAUGCGGGACCCCUGAUUGGAACUUUUUCCCCCCUCUGCUUCCUUUCUGUUUGCAAAUGCAUUGAUGAGCAGUAGAGAUAAGCACAUGCAGAAACUUCAGAACUGAAGGUUAGGGAGCUAGUCGUUUUUAAAAUGUGUCCUUCCCGCCUCCCUCUUUGGAGUUUUCCUAAAUACUUCGUGAAAUUCCAAACGCGUAGCUUGGGCGCUUGAGACCUUUGGAAAUGCAGAAUCUUCAAAAGAUUAUACUCUCCGCAUCUGGUCCCAUCCCGGUGGAGUUAAUACGGGGAAUUGGAGAAUUCAAAAUUACCCAUUGUGUAAUCUGGCUUGUCCUAUUAAGACAUGUUUCAAAUGUGAGCAUUUUUAUUUUAGGUAAUUAUUGAAAUAAAUGGGCUUACUAAAGUUGGAAAUUCUUAAGAUUUUGCAACUCCUGAACGUCCCACUUUAUCAUCCUUAAUCUGGUAUUGAUUUUAUUGUGCUUUGAUGAGUUUGUUAAGAAAGUGAUGGUC
rnacentral:lncRNA from 1 species